rnacentral:rRNA from 1 species
CCUACGGGAGGCAGCAGUGGGGAAUAUUGGGCAAUGGGCGCAAGCCUGACCCAGCAACGCCGCGUGAAGGAAGAAGGCCCUCGGGUUGUAAACUUCUUUUGUCAGGGACGAAACAAAUGAUGGUACCUGACGAAUCAGCCACUGCUAACUACGUGCCAGCCGCCGCGGUAAUACGUAGGUGGCAAGCGUUAUCCGGCUUUACUGGGUGUAAAGGGGGUGUAGGCGGGAGAGCAAGUCAGAUGUGAAAUUCCAGGGCUCAACCCUGGAACUGCAUUUGAAACUGUUUUUCUUGAGUGAUGGAGAGGCAGGCGGAAUUCCGUGUGUAGCGGUGAAAUGCGUAGAUAUACGGAGGAACACCAGUGGCGAAGGCGGCCUGCUGGACAUUAACUGACGCUGAGGCGCGAAAGCGUGGGGAGCAAACAGGAUUAGAUACCCGGGUAGUC